GGAGUUAGCCGGUGCUUCUUCUGCGAGUAACGUCACAGAUGUAAGGUAUUAACUUACACCCUUUCCUCCUCGCUGAAAGUGCUUUACAACCCGAAGGCCUUCUUCACACACGCGGCAUGGCUGCAUCAGGGUUUCCCCCAUUGUGCAAUAUUCCCCACUGCUGCCUCCCGUAGGAGUCUGGGCCGUGUCUCAGUCCCAGUGUGGCUGAUCAUCCUCUCAGACCAGCUAGGGAUCGUCGCCUAGGUGAGCCUUUACCUCACCUACUAGCUAAUCCCACCUGGGCUUAUCCAUCAGCGCAAGGCCCGAAGGUCCCCUGCUUUCCCCCGUAGGGCGUAUGCUGUAUUAGCAGUCGUUUCCAACUGUUAUCCCCCACAAAUGGGCAAAUUCCCAGGCAUUACUCACCCGUCCGCCGCUCGUCAUCUUCAAAAGCAAGCUUUUGAAAUGUUACCGCUCGACUUGCAUGUGUUAGGCCUGCCGCCAGCGUUCAAUCUGAGCAGANACAACUACUGA
rnacentral:rRNA from 1 species